rnacentral:lncRNA from 1 species
UUGCCGUCAGGUGACGUAAAGGGGCAGCUAUUGGGCAGGGCUGGCGGAUGUGGUGGGGGCCACAGCCCCCCUCUGUUUGCUCUUCCUCUUCUUGGUGCCAGACUUUGCAUCUUUGGUGUCUUUCCGAUUUCUGUUCCCGUUUGUAUUAUCUUGCUUUCCUUGCUCGUCCUUUUUCUUCCUUUUCCCUUCGGGGCAUUGGCUCUUCUGCACAGUGCAUCUGCGCACCUCCGUGGUGGCGGGGCACAGGGACACGUCCCCAGAGGGAGCCUGCAGGAUCCGCCGCGUUCGGUCCUCGUUCCCCUUCUUGAAGCCACACAGCUUCCUCUUCUUGGAGCAGGGCCCCCAG